rnacentral:rRNA from 1 species
GUUGACCUCGGAUCAGGUAGGGAUACCCGCUGAACUUAAGCAUAUCAAUAAGCGGAGGAAAAGAAACCAACAGGGAUUGCCCUAGUAACGGCGAGUGAAGCGGCAACAGCUCAAAUUUGAAAUCUGGCGCAAGCCCGAGUUGUAAUUUGUAGAGGAUGCUUCUAGGUAGCGGUCGGUCUAAGUUCCUUGGAACAGGACGUCAUAGAGGGUGAGAAUCCCGUAUGUGAUUGACUUGCACCUUCUACGUAGCUCCUUCGACGAGUCGAGUUGUUUGGGAAUGCAGCUCUAAAUGGGAGGUAAAUUUCUUCUAAAGCUAAAUACCGGCCAGAGACCGAUAGCGCACAAGUAGAGUGAUCGAAAGAUGAAAAGCACUUUGGAAAGAGAGUUAAAAAGCACGUGAAAUUGUUGAAAGGGAAGCGCCUACAACCAGACUUUGCGGCAGUGUUCCGCCGGUCUUCUGACCGGUCUACUCUCUGUCGUGAGGCCAUCAUCGUCUGGGCCCGCCGGAUAAGACCUAAGGAAUGUAGCUGCCCUCGGGUAGUGUUAUAGCCUUUGGUGAUGCGGCGAGGCUCGGGCGAGGUCCGCGCUUCGGCAAGGAUGAUGGCGUAAUGGUUGUCGGCGGCCCGUCUUGAAACACGGACCAAGGAGUCUAACAUCUAUGCGAGUGUUCGGGUGUCAAACCCCUACGCGUAAUGAAAGUGAACGGAGGUGGGAACUUUUUGUGCACCAUCGACCGAUCCUGAUGUCCUCGGAUGGAUUUGAGUAAGAGCAUAGCUGUUGGGACCCGAAAGAUGGUGAACUAUGCCUGAAUAGGGUGAAGCCAGAGGAAACUCUGGUGGAGGCUCGCAGCGGUUCUGACGUGCAAAUCGAUCGUCAAAUUUGGGUAUAGGGGCGAAAGACUAAUCGAACCAUCUAGUAGCUGGUUCCUGCCGA